UGAGGAAUAUUGGGCAAUGCCCGAAAGGGUGACCCAGCAACGCCGCGUGGAGGAUGAAGGUCGUAAGAUUGUAAACUCCUGUUAGAGGGGAAGAAUAACUAAGUUUGGAGCUUAGUAUGACUGUACCCUCAGAGAAAGCCCCGGCUAACUACGUGCCAGCAGCCGCGGUAAUACGUAGGGGGCAAGCGUUGUCCGGAUUUACUGGGUGUAAAGGGCGCGCAGGCGGAAUGGAAAGUCAGUGGUGAAAUCCUACAGCUUAACUGUAGAACUGCCUUUGAUACUUUCAUUCUUGAGUUCGGGAGAGAGAGACGGAAUUCCAGGUGUAGUGGUGAAAUACGUAGAUAUCUGGAAGAACACCAGUUGCGAAGGCGGUCUCUUGGUCCGAUACUGACGCUGAGGCGCGAAAGCGUGGGGAGCAAACAGGAUUAGAUACCCUAGUAGUCCCUGAGCGGGCUGGCAAGGCGCAU
rnacentral:rRNA from 1 species